UAAAGCUUUCAGUGAUGCCAGCGCAGAAUAUUACACCCCAAUAUGUCCCUAUGUCCCUUGUUGUUGUUCUCAUAGCUUCAGCAAGCUGGGGUCCAUAGCAGCAGCCAGUCAUGGUCCCUGGUUUCUCAGUGCAGCCUCCUCCAGCCACUAUAGAGGUCUGCCUACUUUCUUCUUCUUCUUCUUCUUCUUCUUCUUCUUCUUCUUCUUCUUCUUCUUCUUCCCAUAAGCCUUUGCAGAGAGCAUCUCCUCCCCCUGUCACCCUCCAUCUCAGAAGCUUCCUACAGAAAGGACUUUUUCUCUUGUGACAUCACACCCACUGUAAUCCUAGCAGUCUCCUCCUUUCUUGUCUGAUGCUGAAUGUCUCACCUUUACUCAGGGUAAUGACUCUGCCAUCACCUGUCUUUAUUCUUUGGUGGCACCUCUCUAAGUCAAGCUCAUGAAGAAGCUGCCUUGUCCGAAAACCCCACAUUGUAACUCACUCUACGUGGGGCUGCCCUUGAGACUGACCCAGGAACUCCAGUGGGUGCAGAAUGCUGUGGCGAGACUCCUUACCGGGUCCUCACCGUGGGAUCACAUUCACCCAGUGCUAUACCAGUUGCACUGGCUGCCGAUGGAGUACAGGAUCAGGUUUUAGGUGCUGGUUUUAACCUUUAAAGCCCCAUAUGGCCUAGGACCCUCGUACCUAUGGGACUGCCUCUCCUGGUAUGUCCCACGGAGGACCUUACGGUCUUCAAACAAAAACAUCUUGGAGGUCCCAGGCCACAGGGAGGUUAGGCUGGCCUCAACCAGAGCCAGGGCUUUUUCGGCUGUGGCCCCGAUCUGGUGGAAUGCUCUGUCACAAGAGACUAGGGCCCUGCGGGAAUUGACAUCUUUCCGCAGGGCCUGCAAGACAGAGCUGUUCCACCAGGCCUUUGGCCAAGGCACAGUCUGAGCCCCUCCUUUGGCAAUCCUCAUAAAACUGUAGCCCAAUGGUUGCCAUUAAUUUGAUUCUGAAUUGAUUAGAGAAUGAAUUGAUUUUAGAAUUUAUUUUAAUUAAUUGAUUGUGAUUUUAUGUAGAUUGUGUUACUUUUAUUGUUGUUAGCCGCUCUGAGCCUGGUUCUGGCUGGGGAGGGCGGGAUAUAAAUAAAAAAUUAUUAUUAUUAUUACUACUACAUGUCAGCCUAGAUAGCUUAGUUGGUUAGUGCAUGGUGCUGAUAACGCCCAGGUUGCAGGUUCAAUCCCUGCAAGGGACAGCUGCAUAUUCCUGCAUUGCAGAGGGUUGGAGUAGAUCAGGGGUCAGCAAGCUUACCAAACGAUGGGCCGAUCGACGCUCUGUCCAUCGGAGGGUGGGCCGGAGCGUGUGUGCAUGUGCACUCUUCCAGGUCAGAGGAGCACCCGUGCCCAUGCGGACACGCUAUUUCUGGUGCUCCUCUGACCUGGAAGUGCGCCGGAAAUAGCAUGUAUGCAUGAGCACGGGCACUUCUCAGUCCUGCAUGCGUGCACACACGCUAUUUCUGGUGCACAUCCGGGUCGUAGGAGCACCCAUGCACAUGCGCACAGGCGCCAUCAACCCGGAAGUCGGUCCCUGCACCACACUGCACCGCGUCCGUAAGAGCGGGCGGUGGCAGGGGUUGCCUUAGUCUGCUGACCCCUGGAGUAGAUGAUCCUUAGGGUCCCUUCCAACUCUACAGUUUUGUGAUUCUAUGAUUUACUAAUUGCAGAGAUUACGGGGAGAACCUGGCACCCAGGGAUUUUAGGCCCCCUGAAGACUCAUAACAGUACUGAAGACAAAUAACCAACACGAAGUACAAUGUAACAUAAUAAAAUUACAGCACGAUAAAGGCAAUAAAUCAAUGUGAAAUCAUAAAACAGUGAUGCAUAAAUAAUACGAUAUUCAAUCUGACAGUAAUAUUACUGGUCAGGAAUUGCCUGCUUAAGCAAAUUCACUUUAAGCAUGCAGCAAAAUGAUAGUACAGUUUGCUCACCCCUAAUCUCAGAAAGAAGGCUGCUCCAGAAAGAAAGAUGCCAUUACUGCUAAGGACCUCUUCCAAAUGUCUACAGAAUGGAACUCACUGAUCUCAGGGAGUGGGCAGAUUUAUAUUUUAGGGCAAAAGUAUAUGGGAAGCUAAUGCGAUGAUUAUGCAUCGUUUGUGCCAGCUGUGGGAUGCCUAGAGAAAGCAUUCAAGCAAGAACUGGAGUAAACUCACCCUCCUUGAGUUUCCAGCAACUGGUAUUCAGAAGCGGGUGGUACUGUGGUCUAAACCACUGCGCCUCUUGGGCUUGCUGAUCAGAAGGUUGGCGGUUCGAAUCCCCGUGACAGAGCGAGUUCCCGUUGCUCUGUCCCAGCUCCUGCCAACUUAGCAGUUCGAAAGCACACCAGUGCAAGUAGAUAAAUAGGCACCGCUCCGGCGGGAAGGUGAACAGUGUUUCAGUGCGCUGCUCUGGUUUGCCAGAAGCGGCUUAGUCAUGCUGGCUACAUGACCCGGAAGCUGUACACCGGCUCCCUCGGCCAAUAAAGCGAGAUGCAACCCCAGAGUCGGCCACCCCAGAGUCGGCCACGACUGGACCUAACGGUCAGGGGUCCCCUUUACCCUUUACCUAUGAAUUGGUCUGAGAACAUCCAUCGCAAAACUGGAGAAGUGAGGAUUUUGAAGCAUAGCUGCAUUUGGGCAUGAGUUUUGUUUUGGAAAGAGCAAAUCAGGUAUGUUGCAAUACAAAUAAUAAUUUCUCUCCCAGUCCCUAGCCACUAAUAUUUAAGAAUACUGUCUAGAUGAUGAAGACCACAAACAAAAGGCUUUCCUCUGUCUAUCUAUGCAGGAAAGACAUUGUUCCGCAGCUCUAUGGGAUGCAACAAAGAAAGGUGAAUUCUCAAUGAACGCCUUGCUGUUGACUUAUUGCUGAAAAUGGAAUCCUCCCAGCUGCACCCCAGCGAGACUCAUUCUUAGCAGACAAGCCAAAUUUAUUCAUUUAUUUAUUUGAGAUAUGAGCAGCUUCUUUCUUAAAAAGACUUAAAAAGUGUUGGUGGUGGUGACUGAGGGCCCUGCUUUUCACAUCAAGGGAGGCAUUCAGAACAGGACUACUGAAUGGGAUUUGUAUGUGAAAGUCCUAUUAUAGCAACUCCCACAGAAAUCUGCUUCCAAGUUUCCCAAUUGCUAUUGAUAUGCUCUAGCAGUGCACUUGACUUGGUCAAUUUAGAUUGGGAGGAUUUUAACAUGCGAGGUGCUUUGAAGAAAAGGGAGGGGGGUGAACUAAUCUAUUGAUGGGGAAAGCUUAGAAGGCUUUAACAUCUUAUUAGGAGGCUGGAAGUCCUCCCAUCUCAAUCCAGCAUGGUACUUCCUUUGAAAGGAACCAGAGGCCAGUGCCAGCGUUAUGCACACAUUAUUUCUGAUUGCGCCGCAAGCGUGUUUGGCCUCUUGUUCCUUGAGGCACCUGUGUUAGGAAGAGAAAAAGGAAAGGGAAAAAAUGCACUUGCCAAAAGUUGCUGGGGUUUGUUCUUCAGCAAAUGCCAGUCUCUACUUGCCAAACCCCUCUCCGCCUAAAAUUACAGGCACAGUGCGGGUAUACGGCACACAAAUAAAGCACAACGGAAUGAUGAAUCUUACUGUGCGCUGAGUUUUGUUUCGUUCACCCGGGCACUGCUCACACGCUGUUAGAGAAAUGUUUGCAAGGAUGAAGGCUAGAAAGAGGUGCACAUUUUUUAGAUUUUAUUUUGGUAAUAAAAGAGAGUGGAUUUCUUGGGAAGCCAAACCUUGGCUUCGGUACCACAUGCAGUUUGGCGUGCCAAGUUCAAACAGAUUUCUUCUCUCACCCAAUGCUUCCUAUUUAUUUUGCCAUUAUCUUGCUCCUGUAAUCCUUCUGGCUGCUGAAGAAUUGAUGCUUUUGAAUUAUGGUGCUGGAGGAGACUCUUGAGAGUCCCUUGGACUGCAAGAAGAUCAAACCUAUCCAUUCUGGAGGAAAGCAGCCCUGAGUGCUCACUGGAAGGACAGAUCCUGAAGCUGAGGCUCCAAUCCUUUGGCCACCUCAUGAGAAGAGAAGACUCCCUGGAAAAGACCCUGAUGUUGGGAAAGAUGGAGGGCACAAGGAGAAGGGGACAACAGAGGACGAGAUGGUUGGACAGUGUUCUCGAAGCUACCAGCAUGAGUUUGACCAAACUGCGGGAGGCAGUGGAAGACAGAAGUGCCUGGCGUGCUCUGGUCCAUGGGGUCACGAAGAGUCGGACACGACUAAACGACUAAACAACAACAACAAUCCUUCUGGCAGGAGCUCCAGUUCCAUGGGGCUGAGGGCUCUACAGCCUCCCAAUGUCCAUGGGUAUGGGGCUCAGCCCCCCCAAUCUUGAGGGGGCCGAGGAGGCCUGGCAGUAAUUCGCCCCAGGCCGUGUGGUGUCUACCAGCAUGGUGUAGCCUGGUGAGAAGUUUCCCCCGGCCACGGGGCAUCUCCUGUUGCUGCAUGGUCCAGUGGAAUGUCACCCUGGCCACACCGAGUCAUGUGAUGCGGUGCAGCCUGGGGGGAUGUUGCCCUGGGCUACGCAGCAUCAGGAGAGGCCACAUGGACCAGCAUUGACUGCAUGGACCUGGUUGGCGAAUGUCACAUCAGAAGGAGGCCUUCUUUGUGGCAGCCCCUAAGUUGUGGUGUAGUGGUUAAGAGCGGUGGGCUCGUAAUCUGGUGAACCGCUCCUCCACAUGCAGCUGCUGGGUGAACUUGGGCUAGUCACACUUCUUUGAAGUCUCCCAGCCCCACUCACCUCACAGAGUGUUUGUUGUGGGGGAGGAAGGGAAAGCAGAAUGUUAGCCGCUUUGAGGCUCCUUUGGGUAGUGAUAAAGAGGGAUAUCAAAUCCAAACUCCUCCUCCUCUUCCAACUCCUCCUCCUCCUCCUCUUCUUCUUCUUCUUUUUCGUGACAGAGGUGCAUCUGGCAACUUCAACAUUCAUAUGCUGAAGAUGAAUAUCUUUGACCCUUGAGAGAGAUGUGUUUAGGAGACACUUAAGUUGUGAUUGUAAUUUCCUAUGAACAGUUUCUAAUGCUGUAUUUUAUGUAACCGUAACCUGCCCUGGUCACGACUGGGAAAUAAAACUAAUAAUAAUAAUAAUGCAAAGCUUUCUACCUAUUUUGCAACUUUUGAUCAUUCCUAAUAUCCAUAAGGAAUGCAGGUGGCGCUGUGGUCUAAACCACUGAGCCUCUUGGGCUCGCCGAUCAGAAGGUCAGCAGUUCGAAUCCCCGCGACUGGGUGAGCUCCUGUUGCUCGGUCCCAGCUCUUGCCAACCUAGCAGUUCGAAAGCAUGCCAAAAAGUGCAAGUAGAUAAAUAGGUACCGCUCUGGUGGGAAGGUAAACAGUGUUUCUGUGCGCUGCUCUGGUUUUGGUGUUCCGUUGUGCCAGAAGCGGCUUAGUCAUGCUGGCCACAUGACCCGAAAAAACUGUCUUCGGACAAACGCCGGCUCCCUUGGCCUGUAUAGCAAGAUGAGUGCCGCAACCCCAGAGUCGUCUGCGACUGGACUUAACUAUCAGGGAUCCUUUACCUUUACCUUUUUAAUAUCAGUCAGUAUCUUGAAUUUGCUUGUUUGCUUGUUAUCCCAAUGGAUUAACAUGGCUACAACCAUUUUAUGAGUAGUUUCCUUGGCCUUGCCCCACUAACUAUGAGUGAUGACUUCCAAUCCAUGUGGAAACAGGUAGUGGCAACUAAAAUCUCACCCCUGGGUCUUCUACUUCCAGGUCUUCUACCCGGCAUGGGAGAUGAUCAGGCCAAAGCACUCAUUAAACAACAUGUAGCAGACACAGAACACCAACUGGAUCUAGCCAGGACCCCAACUUUUAUUGCCAAUGAAUCCAUCAGGUACUCUGCCUCCCCCAUGGCAUAUCUAACUAAACUCAAAGUCCCUAAGCAUUAGAGGGCCUUUACCCUGGCACAAUGUCAUGCCCUCCCCUUGGCUGUCAUUGAAGGUCGAUAUAGGAAGAUUGCUUACUCAGAGAGACAAUGCCCCUGUGAUUCUAGUCAAACAGAAACAAUAGAGCGUGUGCUUCUCCAGUGCCUAUAUUAUAGAGACAUCUGUACAGUGGUACCUCAGGUUACAAACACCUUGGGUUACUUCAGGUUACAGACUCUGCUAACCCAGAAGUAGUACCUCAGGUUAAGAACUUUACCUCAGGAUGAAAACAGAAAUCGUGUGCCAGCGGUGUGGCAGCAGCAGGAGGCCUCAUUAGCUAAAGUGGUACUUGAGGUUAAGAACAGUUUCAGGUUAAGAAUGGACCUCUGGAACGAAUUAAGUGCGUAACCCGAAGUACCACUGUAUUAGCCUCAUCUCCCCACUACUCCAUAUGUUCCCAGGCCAGGGUGCACAGGACAAUUCUAUACCUCCCUGCUGCUUUCAGAUACUAACCCUGCUACAACAUACAAUGUUGUCAGGUUCUGCAUAGCAGCGUUCAAAAUCUAUCGAUUGAUGACCUGUACAACAAUCUAGAUUUAAUGAACACCCAUAUCAGAGUGCUUUGUAAAUUGAUAGUCAUAGCCUUUCGUAUACCAACGUUUUAUGCUCUUCCACAUCCGUUUAAUGCUCCUAAUCCUUCUUUUAGCUUCUUAUAGUCUUUUAUAUGUACCUUCUGUUUUAAUAAUUUUAGCUUUCCAGAACGUUUUACAGAUUUUAAAUGAUUGUACCCCACCCUGCUUGUGUUGGUCUAUGACUGUAAUAAAGAUUUGAUUGAUUGAUUGAAUAGUUCAAUUGAAGUUUUAUUUUUCUGGCCAUUUUCAUUUGAGUUUUUUUAUUUCUUAAACACUCCUUGCUGCCAUGUUCUUAUUGCGCUCUGCUACAGAAAAAGCCUGUAGCUUAGUGAUAUAAGAACACAUCUCUCAGUCAGUGGAGGGAUCUCAAAGGCACAUGAAGCCACUCUGAUCUGUACAGUCCAGACAUGGCACCCACCCAUCUGAUGGAGCAGACUGCUGGACCAGUGUGGGCAAUCAUCAUCAUCAUUUUUUUUGUAUGCCGCCUUUCCAUAGCUGAAACUAUGCUCAAGGCGGCUUACAACAUGACAAGAUUUACAUAAUUACAAACAUAACAGAAGUCAUAAACAAUAAAUAGAACACAUCAAAAAGUACACAACCUAAUGGAAACAAUUUCCACAUAAAUCAUAAGAUCUAAAAUUAAAGAUACAGUGGUACCUCGGGUUAAGAACUUAAUUCGUUCUGGAGGUCCGUUCUUAACCUGAAACUGUUCUUAACCUGAGGUACCACUUUAGCUAAUGGGAUCUCCUGCUGCCGCCAUGCCGCUGCCGCACGAUUUCUGUUCUCAUCCUGAAGCAAAGUUCUCAACCCGAGGUACUAUUUCUGGGUUAGCGGAGUUUGUAACCUGAAGCGUCUGUAACCUGAGGUACCACUGUACAAUAGCAUAAAUAACAGCAACAGCUCUCUCAAAAAUACUCCAGCCCCAAAAUCUAUCCAACCACCUCAGCUUUUGUAGCUGGAGUCAGUCAGCACUCCCCUCUCCCAGGCCAGAUGGGAAAAGGCCAGCAAGGCAGGGUGCAGGUCUCCCAGGGCUCACAGCCAAGGAUGGUCUCAUUUAAAACAACGCAGAUAAAAAUUAAAAACAGUUUAAAAGUGAGUCCUUGGUGCUAAGCAGUAGCCACAGUCCUUGUGAAGCCUGUCAAGCCCAGUCCCAAGCCAGGUGGAAAGAGGCAAGGGCGGGACCCUUCAGUCCUCCUCAGUUAAAACACACGAAGAGCUCCAGUGGUCUGGUCAAAGGCCUACCUAGUUCAGCACCCUUCUCUCACAGUAGCCAGUCAAAGAUGCCCAUAGGAAGCAAGACAUGAGCACAACAAUUCUCGUGUUCCCAGCAAAUGGUACCCAGAGGCAUCCUACCUCUGAUAUUGGAGGAAAAUACCUUCUGCAUCAGGGACGCGGGUGGCGCUGUGGGUUAAACCACAGAGCCUAGGACUUGCCAAUCAGAAGGUCAGCAGUUCGAAUCCCCGCGACGGGGUGAGCUCCCGUUGUUCGGUCCCUGCUCCUGCCAACCUAGCAGUUUGAAAGCAUGUCAAAGUGCAAGUAGAUAAAUAGGUACCACUCCGGUAGGAAGGUAAACGGCGUUUCCGUGUGCUGCUCUGGUUUGCCAGAAGCAGCUUAGUCAUGCUGGCCACAUGACCCGGCUCCCUUGGCCUAUAGAGCGAGAUGAGCGAGAUGAGCGCGCAACCCCAGAGUCGGUGACGACUGGACCUAAUGGUCAGGGGUCCCUUUACCUUUACCUUCUGCAUCACUCCCUAGCAGACAAUAUUGUAGGAGAAGGCAGAUCUGCAUUCUCACGAGGCAACUCUCAGAUACCUCUUGUAUGUAUCUCCCCUAAGCACCGCCAAUCUCUGAGCCCAUCGGUUAUUUUAUUUUUUUACAAGCAAGACAAAAGAGCACCGUUGCUUCUUUCCUCCCUGGCAGGCUGUGCGAUGUCAGUAGCCUCCAGUAGAUGGCGAUGUGGGCCUCCGAGUGAGGCCUUUUCCACCCCACCCCCGUUGUCAUUUGCCAUGUUGUCCAAUGCGCUUGAUAGCCGCGGCAACAUCUCUAAGCAUCUCGGUAAAUGACAGCUUUGAAUGACAACGCUUUCUGCAUUGCCAGUUUUUGCUCGCGAUCGAGCCGUGAGGGGACAGAUACCUGCCACUUCCAUUUUAAACUCUGACAAAGAAUUCGAAAGCAGGCCAGGUUUCAGCGAAUAAGUAAAAGGAUUGCUUUCACGAUAGCGAAGUGAAUGAGAAUAAAUUCUGGGCUCUCCUCCCCCCACCCCAACAUCCCAGGCAGAGAUGUGCUCUUCUGCUUUAUUUAUCAUAGCCCAUCCUUCAUCUGAGGAACUUGCAAUGUUCGGUAGCAGUGUGCAUGCUUUUCACAGAAAACGUCACAGCAUCUCCAGGUACGAAUGGGAAACCAUAGCUGCAAUGCUAGGCUAGGUAGAUCAACUGGGUAAGGCAACUUCCAGCAUUCUGUUUAAUUUCUACAAAACUCCUGCGAGGUAGGUUAGGCUGUGGGGUCCAGAAACUAGCUCAGGACAACCCAUUGAGCAUCAAGACUGAGCAGAAAUCUGAAUCUAGCGCAGUCUGCCCACCAUAGUGCAGGGGGUUACAGCCUUGGGGUUGCAUGUGGCUCUCAGCCUAAUUUCAAAGCCCUCUUCGGGCAACCAGUUCAGAUCUCUGGCAAGAGAGGCCCAUCCCUUUCUUGGCAGCCCACUAGGUAGAGAAGAAGAGUUUGGAUUUGAUAUCCCGCUUUAUCACUACCCGAAGGAGUCUCAAAGUGGCUAACAUUCUCCUUUCCCUUCCUCCCCCACAACAAACACUCUGUGAGGUGAGUGGGGCUGAGAGACUUCAGAGAAGUGUGACUAGCCCAAGGUCACCCAGCAGCUGCAUGUGGAGGAGCAGAGACACGAACCCGGUUCCCCAGAUUACGAGUCUACCACUCUUAACCACUACACCACACUGGCUCACACUGGGAGAGAUAGCUAGGGAGAGAGUGAGGGGGGUGUUAGAAAGUGCAAGAGAGAGAGAGAUAAAGGGUGUUGGGAUGGGGGGGGGGAGAGGGACAGACGUAGCGUGUGUCAGAAAGAGGAAAAGAAAGGGAGAAGACAGAAGAGGUGGCAGAAAGUUAGAGGAAAGAAAAGAAUGGCCAAACCGACUUUGUCAUAUCUCCUUGUUCACGGCUGCACUCCACUCAGGUCAAUUCACCACUGAAUUGUGGCCCUUAACAAGAUUAUUCUCAAAGGAAUGUGGCCCCUGGCAGAAUAAAAGGUUCCCGAACGCACACUGCAGUGAGUCUCUGUGAAUACAGUGGUACCUCGGGUUACAGACACUUCAGGUUACGUACGCUUCAGGUUACAGACUCCACUAAUCCAGAAAUAGUACCUCAGGUUAAGAACUUUGCUUCAGGAUGAGAACAGAAAUCGUGCUCUGUUGGCGUGGCAGCAGCGGGAGGCCCCAUUGGCUAAAGUGGUGCUUCAGGUUAAGAACAGAUUCAGGUUAAGAACAGACCUCCAGAACGAAUUAAGUACUUAACCUGAGGUACCACUGUAUGUUUUUCUUUUUAACUAUAGCACUUGGAAUAUUUAUAAAUAUAUGCAUCCAAAGCCUUUACUAACCAUCCUUUCCUUUCCAUUUAGAACUUUCCAUUUUGCCCUGAUUAUUCCUUCUGAGAUGGUUAAAAUGUUCCCAUUUCACACCCAAUGAAAUUGCGAAUAUACAAUUUACAUGUCAGAUCAAUCAAGAUCCAGAUUGCAGAUGUUAGUGGACUACAGGUUUCCUUCAGUCAGAGGCUUUGCUAGAGAAAGGGA